AUACGUAGGGGGCGAGCGUUGUCCGGAAUGACUGGGCGUAAAGGGCGUGUAGGCGGUUGUCUAAGUCUGGAGUGAAAGUCCAGCUUUCAAGGUGGGCAUAGCUUUGGAUACUGGAUGACUUGAGUGCGGAAGAGGUGAGUGGAAUUCCCAGGGGAGCGGGGAAAGGCGUAGAGAUUGGGAGGAACACCAGUGGCGAAGGCGACUUACUGGGCCGUAACUGACGCUGAGGCGCGAAAGCGUGGGGAGCGAACAGGAUUAGAUACCCUGGUAGUCCACGCGGUAAACGAUGAAUGCUAGGUGUUGCGGGUAUCGACCCCUGCAGUGCCGGAGUAAACACAAUAAGCAUUCCGCCUGGGGAGUACGGCCGCAAGGUUGAAACUCAAAGGAAUUGACGGGG
rnacentral:rRNA from 1 species